UCGAUUCUUUCCCAUCCCGAGACCCCAAUCGACGGUGCCCUCGAGGGCUCGACCAUCUACUCCUCUUCCUCUCACCACCGUCCAAUCACCGGCGACACUUCAACAGGUCAACGCUGCACCACUGCUCCCCUUCACCAUCGCGCCGGCCUCUGCCCAAACCCGAUGCCCCACCACCCCCAGCCGUGGAACGCCGCCCAGACCAUCUCCGUUCCGCCACCACUCGUCAACGCGACCACAGCCUCUCCGUCCACCAUCGUCUCCUGGACCGAGCUAAGGCCACCGCGAACCAUCACCCUACCUCUCAGUCCCCACCACCGUGGCCGCGCCUUCUCCCAGCCCAACAAAUCCAACCGAUGCCGUCAUCUCCUCCUCUAAUUUAGAAUUGUUUGUUUGGGUGAUACCCUAGCCAUUGUUAAGGUGUAUGUUACAGCUGUAAUGGUCCCGGAGACCGCACUUAUCCUCCCAACUAAUGCUGGAGCGAAAAUUCUCGGUGAUGUACUCGACGGAGAUAAUAUCGAGUGGAUUUUCAAGGACUUGGUUCGCCGCCCGUGAUUGCAGCCUCCAUGAUUCUGCACUCGACUAGCUGAGUCAUUCACAGUAGUGUUUAUGAGUUGCCCUUAAGAUCGUACUUCCGUAUGAUAUUAGAAUUAUCUAUUUAUGUAUUACUUUUGGGUUUUGCGUAUCGUUAUUUAGUAGGUUGUUAUGUUGGUGUACGGAUUGGUGUUUUGUUGUGAUGUUUUGUUAACACCGUUGACGACUAAUAUUUUAUUUUUGGCUGGACUAUGAACAUCGUUGUAUUGAUGACCAUGUGUAGUAUUUU